GAGGGUGUAACUCAAGUGGUAGAGUGCGUGCUUAGCAUGCACGAGAUCCUGGUUCAAUCCCCAGUACCUUCA
rnacentral:tRNA from 1 species